GAUGAACGCUGGCGGUAUGCUUUACACAUGCAAGUCAUACGGAAGUUAGUUUCAGCUAACUUCAGUGGCGGACGGGUGAGUAACACGUGAGAAUUCGCCUUUAGGAGGGGGAUAACAGGGGGAAACACCUGCUAAAACCCCAUAUGCCUUCGGGUCAAAAGAGAAAUCUGCCUAAAGAGAAGCUCGCGGCUGAUUAGCUAGUUGGUGGGGUAAAGGCCUACCAAGGCGACGAUCAGUAGCUGGUCUGAGAGGAUGAUCAGCCACACUGGAACUGAGACACGGUCCAGACUCCUACGGGAGGCAGCAGUGAGGAAUUUUCUGCAAUGGGCGAAAGCCUGACAGAGCAAUACCGCGUGAGGGAAGAAGGCUUACUGAGUUGUAAACCUCUGUUACCUAAGGAGGAAGAUCUGACGUUACUUAGGAGACGAAGCAUCGGCUAACUCCGUGCCAGCCGCCGCGGUAA
rnacentral:rRNA from 1 species